GCACUUGGUUAAUUUUAUGGGUUUGGACAAAUGUAGUUGACAAGGUCAAGCGUGCACAUCAAUUACAGGCACAGGCCCAACCAAACUCUCCAAGCUCUGAGGACAACGAUAUGCAGACAGGAAACUCACACACACACACACACACGAACACGCAGAGCGAAGCGUGCAGUUGACCUCUCAAUUUAGCGCGCAUAAUGCCAGGAAAUGCCAACAUUUAAACACACACAAGAGUGAGGAUGAGCCUGAGAGACUCGACGCGACUGCGCUUGGCUGAGAGUCUCUAAACAGCGUCGGGCUUGCAACGCUUGUGGCAGCCACAUGUGGACUCUUUGCUGUGUGCACUUUUAUUCACUGGCAAUUCUAAAGUUUUGAGCAUGACAUGCCACAAAUGUAAGCGUAAGCAGCAGCUGAUUAAUCGAUAGCUGCUGAUAAUUUAGCAUGUUGUUAUCGUUUGUAUUCUUAAAUCCUUUCACGCCAAAAUUAAGCCAUUAGCAGCCUCGAAGGUUUACGAGCUUGCUGUGCUCUUUGUCUGUGUGUGUCUCUUCUAAAGUGCUCCACAAAAAACGGCCCAUAAAUUGCACAGACAGUGUAAAACAACUUCAUAA